CAAGGACCCGGUGAAAAUCCGGGUGGCUCUUCCGGCCGCCGAUCCGCCGGACAACC
rnacentral:ncRNA from 1 species